UACGGAGGGGGCUAGCGUUGUUCGGAAUUACUGGGCGUAAAGCGCACGUAGGCGGCUUUGUAAGUUAGAGGUGAAAGCCCGGGGCUCAACCCCGGAAUAGCCUUUAAGACUGCAUCGCUUGAACACGGGAGUGGUGAGUGGAAUUCCGAGUGUAGAGGUGAAAUUCGUAGAUAUUCGGAAGAACACCAGUGGCGAAGGCGGCUCACUGGACCGUUGUUGACGCUGAGGUGCGAAAGCGUGGGGAG
rnacentral:rRNA from 1 species